GCUGACGCCAUUGUAGACCUCAGCCCGUCUGUACCCAGGCGCUCAUUAGAACAGCGUGUUGCUCCACACCGCCUUGUGGUGUUUGUUACCGCGCUCUUGGGGUUCGAACCGAUACAGCAGGCUUGCAGCUAUUUCAUUGGUUUAAACUUUUAUUUUUUUAUUGCAAAUGAAAAUUACUAUCAACUAUCAUUACAAAGCUGUAGAAUAUGAAGUUCGAAGGAAAACGCUGAAUCAGUAUACAAAAGCGUCUCAAUCAGACUCAUCCAUUUUGAAGCAAUUCCUCUGCCAUUUUGCCACCUCCUCUCAAAUUCAGCGACUUACCAGAAAGCCUGUGUGGAUGAAUAUUGCUUCCAGGAGUCACAUAAUUACAUCUAAAAUCAUAGAAUGUUAGAGCUGGAGGAAUCUUUAGAGUUUGCCCAAGGUCCUUCACCAGCAUUUUACAGAAGAUUCUUCGAUUUAACUGCUCUUAAUUACAUCCCGUUGCACUGGCCCCAUCAAGUUGCUUUAAACAGCCCUUCUAGUCAACAGAGCUGCAGAGAAAAACCUUGGUUGGUUCAGGUCACUAGGAUGCAGAGCUGUCACACUUCAUUUGUGAGAACACUCCAGAGCUUCCUCCAGCUGCUGAUUCCAAACCAGCUUCACAAAUAAACAACAUUUAUAAUCCCAGACCUGUGGGAAGCAUUUCCAGGAAAUAUGGAUCAUCACAUUGGCUCUUGUUACCAGAACUGUGCAAGGCUCCCAUUGGCCGAACACAACUGGAUUUCAGAAGACUUAAUGGAGACUAUACAGGAAUGACCUGCCUUGUUGUAAGAGGUUUGGGGAGAGAGCCAUGUGGCAAGCAACUGCCAGCAGCCUCUUGGAACUCCUGGCUAACAGUCAGCAAAAAGCCAGAAACCUCAGUUUACAACCACAAAAUGAUGAAUCCUGCCAACAACCUGAGUCGGUUUUGCAGUGGAUCCAUCCCCAGUCAAGCUUUCUGAUGAGAAUCCAGCUCCAGCCAAGAGCUUUUGCUGUUGUUCUUGUAAUUAAUUGUUCCAAGCAUCCAUUCUUUCUGUAGCCUCAAGAUGGUAUAUACGAUUUUGCACUUCGUUGGGAGGUCAUGCUGAUACAAGAGGUGAGCUCCCACAGCCUCGGGCAGCUCCUCCCCUGUGGCUUUGCAGGAUACAGCCCCCAUCCUGGCUGCUUUCAGGGGCUAGUGUUGAAUGUCUGCAGCUUUUCCAGGCGCAUAGUGCAAGCUGUUGGUGGAUCUAUCGUUCUGGAGUAUGGAGGAUGGUGGCUCUCUUCUCACAGCUCUACUAGGCAGUGCCCCAGUGGGGACUCUGGGGCAUCCAACCCCACAUUUCUCUUCCACACUGCCCUAGCAGAGGUUCUUCAUGAGGCCCCACCUCUGCAGCAAACUUCUGCUUGGACAUCCAGAUGACAGGUAUCAUUAUCCAUGUGGAAGACUAGGCUGGAAGAGCUUGUCUCCAACUUUGAAGAAGUGAAAAAACCAGAUGUUUGGGGCAAUUCAGAAGUCUGUGGAAGUUGAAGGUGUUAAUCAAUGGCACUCAGGUUACUUCCAAGAGAAACUAUUCAGGAUUUCCAAGUAACGAAGAAUCAAGCUAGUUUGUAAUGUCCUCAAAGAAAGAAACAUUUUCAUUUCUACAUGACCAGCAGCUAUCAUAGGGGCUGGCACACAGAUUUCUCAUCCUGGGAGAAACCAGCUGCCAGGUCUUGAGGAACACUCAAGCAGCACUGUGGGGAGACCCAUGUGGUGAGGAACUGGAGCCUCUGGAUAACACUCAGCAGAAACUGAGGCCUUCCAACAACCCCAUGAGUGAUACUGAAAGCAGAUCUCCCAGCCCCAGUCAAGCCUUCGGAUGACUGCGGCCCAGUAACAGCUUGAAUGCAACCUCACAAGAGACGUUGAGCUAGAAGCAGCUAGCCAAUCCACUCUUGGAUUCCUGACCCUCAGAAACUGAUAAUAAUAAAUGUUUGCUGUUUUAAGCUGCUAAGUUUUGUAGUAAUUUGUUACAGAGCAACAUGUAACUAUCAUAUGUUAAUAUUAACAGUGAGAUGGUGGCAAAAUACCAACCCACAAUGUGGAAGUGGCUUUAGAACUGAGCAAUGGGCUUUGACGAAAGGGUUAGUGACAGUCUGUAGUGCCUCGAACACACCGUCAAUAGAAGCCUUGUGGUUUUUCCUAAAGCUACAGGUGAGGGCUCACAGGUAAAUGAAGCAAAUGUUGGAAACUAGAGAAAGAGGGAAUUCAUUAUGUUGUAGUAAAAAAAUUAGUAAUGCUUUUGCCUGAAG
rnacentral:lncRNA from 1 species